UCUCUAUGAUGAUGAAUAGAGGUUAAGAAUCCUAUGUAAUUUGUUAUACCAAACCAUGUGGAAUAAUGAGGCAUUUGUUUGGGAGAA